GGAAUCCGUAUUGUCUUUCUAUUGAUGUCACCGUCAUUUUUUCGUCUUACCGUUAAGUUUACCAAUUUUACGAUGGUACGUAAGACGAGUUUCUUUCGUUAUUUCAUUCUCUUUACAAUAGAGAGGUAACCUUUAGUCGGUGGAAAUUGCGGGACUUCUUGGAAAUCAGGAUACCAGAGGAAGAGAGGGUGGGAGGGGAAGGGGGUGGAGAGAGAGAGAGAGAGAGAGAGAGAGAGAUCACGAAAUGCUCGCAUGAAACACGGAUUUCUCGGCGUAUGCGCCGCGAAAUGAGAUCAUGUUGUUUUUGUGGCAUGGAGUCGACGGUUAAUACGUUUAGCUACGCGUCCGCGCGGUUGCCAUGCUUCUCUACGUCUUGCGCGUAGGCCAACUCGCGAGGCGAUGACGCAAGCUGCGCGUUGGCACGUAUACAUACUUCUUCGACGAAAGAGAGAAGCGACAAGAGGACACGACGGACGAACGAACGAACAGAGCUGGCUAGCUAGCUAGCUAGCUAGCGAUCGACGUGACUUGGAAUGGACGGAGAGAAGAGGGAGGGAGGUAGAGGUAGGUAAUUCCCAACAGAAAAGUAGCCUUGUCGUCUUCCAAGAAUUUUGACGGUUAGAUCGGAGUCAGGCUUUCCGAAGGCUUCCGGCCUUCCGAUCGACGGCCAUGAGAGAGAGGAACACACCUGCUUCGCCGUUCGAUCCGACCUUCGUACCGCAACGACUCAUCGUUUUGGCAUUCGGCGAUCGGAUUCUCGAGCGAUGAUUACGAUCUUUUCACGCGCCACGGAGAAUUUCAUCAUCAUUUCGGAUAAUCGGAUAGAUAUCGCGAAAAGAAUGCUUUCUUAUUUUUUACUUGAUGCAUUUUUCGUUCUCAUAUAAAAUCGUAAUCUAAAUCCUGUUAAAUAAUAGAGUUGUUGAACGAAGAGAAAGGAUAGAUAGAGAAAGGAAGGAGAUAGAGAGCGAGAGAGAAAGAGUAGAUUGAUGCGACGGACGUGGCGCAGCAGCAACGGCAGCGACAGCAGCAGCAACAGCAGCAGCAGCAGCAGCAGCAGCAGCUAAGUCAGACCGGCAGUCGCCUAGCGCGCCACGACGGCUGGCACGGCUCGUCGGAUUUGUCCUUGGGAUCGAGAAGCAUACGUACGUAUACUUAUACACCUUCCAAUGAAGUCCAAAGAACCGAACACACAUUGUUUAACUUUUUGGCACCUUCAAUACGGGAAUCUUCUUUUAUAGUACCAAAGUCGAAGUCCUUUGAAAGAGAACACGUUGGUGUUUCGGCUGUCCCGUAACACAUUGUACGAGAAAGGACAGAGGGUACAUAGUCAAGGUUCGUAAAAGUUCUUGAGAAGACGAGACCGAUCGGCCGUCAGAAAGAGACGUACCGCUUUGUUAACAUAAGAGAGGACGAUGGCGGUGACGAAUUGAAUUUUGUCUCAGAUCGCAGUUUUUUCUGAAUUUUACGACAAGCUUCUGUGCUUACUCGUUUGUCUGCUUUUGCAUUUCUGGUUUCAAUUGAAAUGAAUUUUCUAACGAAGUCUCGAACUUUGCGUUGCUCUUUGCGCCGGACUUUGAAAAGACUCCGCUAUCAGCUCAUACGAGACUUCUUAUCUCAAGUUUCCUUUGAAGAAAAAAAAAAAAAAAAAAAAAAAAAAAGAAAAAAAGAAAAGAAAAAAGACAAAAAAAAAAUUAUUGCUCGAGAAACGAUGAGUCUGUCCUUCGUAACCGCACGUACCGUACGGUUAUUGUACGUAUGUCGUUCGGUAGAUUACAUCAGUAGCUUGUUAGCUCGAUAACUAGUUAAUAAAACUAAUAAGAGUAAUAAUAAUCCAUUCGUUCAAUGAAGAGAAAGAGAGAAAGAGAAAGAGUCAAUGUUCUCGUUAACGACAUGGUAGAGAUCGUUCGAAUGUUCUCCUUAAAUGUUUCCAUUUACUUAUCCAAUAAUUAGAUAUGAUAGUUGCGAAAGAAGAUAAUACGCAUCGUACGCGUAUUUUCUUUUCGAUAGGGUGAAAAGUGAGUUUUUGCUUGGCUGCUCUUUCAAAUCGCAAACUCGAGUUUAUACUUUAGUUUAUUUAUGUGCACGCCGCCGACUGGGAGAGCGCCACACGUGCAACCACGUACACAUAUGUGUCUCGCAUAUUCCGUUGUGUUCGUACGUUUAUCGGUGUGGCGCGUUUACGACAUUCGUGCGUAGUAGUGCGUAUUUUCCCACACAUUCAUGAAUCAAGUAAGUAUGUAUGCGCGCGUAUGGUGUCGAACCUAAUCGCGCUUAUACCCAGGGACGCACGCACGCAUCGGUCAUAUUAUAUAUCUCUCACGAAAAUUUAUAUAUCGUGAUAUAAACAAGGCUCAUAAUGAUAUGAUAAAUAAGCUACGUUAAAGGAAAAAUCUCGUCGUUUUAUAUAGAAAGAAUGAGAAGAGAUAGAGGGGAAAGAUGAGGAAAAAGAAAAAUAGAAAAAAAAAAAAAAAAAAAGAAAAAGCUUAAGAAUUGUUUACAAGUCACGAUGGACGCGAAGAAAGAGAAAUGCCCGGGUGACGUACAUAGCUGGCAUAUACUACGAUAUUUUGAUGACUUUCUCUGAAAAGAAACUAACCAAUGUUCGUAUGCAAAUAAGAGAGAGAGAGAGAGAGAGAGAGAGAGAGAGAGAGAGAGAGAAAAAGAAAAGAAACGUUACGAGGAUCUAUUCAAAACUAUCGAUCGACAAUCAUUAGUUUGACCGUGAAAUUUAAAUACAAUAUGUAUUUCAUACGUAUCAGUAAUAAUAUUAUUUAUAGAUAUAAUAAAAUUUUCAUAAGGUCAAUUAAGAUCAACCUGACUUCUCUAUCGUGUCGACUUGCUUUCUCUUUUAAGAUCUCGUCUCGUAACGAAUAGUAGAAGAAAGAGACGAGGAACGCAAAUACAUUUAGAAUUCGUUUAGAUAGAUAGAUAGAGAAAGAGACAGAGAAAGAGAGAGAAAGAGAGAGAGAGAAAGAGAACGUCGUAUAGUCUAUCGUCCAACAUUCCUACAUUACCGAUACGUAAUUUCGUAAAGAGCCUUGAUGCGUCCCUGAUCGGGUGGUUCGCGUAGGUUAAGCGUCACACUUGGCCGCACCGCUCGUUUGCCUACGUACGAACACAGAAAUACACCUUCUCCGUGGGCGGUCGCACGAUGGCGCCUACUCGCGCAUACCUGAACACACCGAGCGUAUCGAGGCUGACCGCCAUGCGUUUUGCGAACGUUUUCGAUGAGGAUGCGAAGACUUCGUAUUCCGGACCUUUCAUCUCUUCCCUCGAUUUCUUCCGAGUACGAACGGAGAAUUCCACGAUACGGAGAAGACAACACACGUUAAAGAAUAUGACGUUCUGUCUCUACGAACGGUAGCAGCGUUCCUCCCUUUUGUUUUAUUUUCUAACAGAAUGUCGACGUUAACGUAGUGUGGCGCGCGCGCGCCUUCGAUUUUACCGACCUUACCGACCGGCCGAUAAAAAUAGAUUUAACGAGGUUAUCUACGAGGUCAUCAACUUCGUCCACACGUCAAUACUUCAAUUGGACUUUCUUCGAAGGAAAAGGAACGAUACGUUUUACCUGCUUCAUUGAAGUCUAUGCUGGCAUCGCUUUUGAGGAAAUCUGAUUGUUUCUCAUCACCGAAAUCCAAGACUAAAAUCUCUUGAGAAAGAGUCAUGUCCUCAGCUUUCUCUUCGGUAGCAUUCAUGACAUUCCUUCGACGUCUUUUGCCCCAUGAUUCAACGGAUUCACGUCCCCACUCGCAAACAGCCUGUCAACGAGCAACAUGAAACGCUGUUAAACUUUUUCCCUUCCUUUUCGAGUUUCGGCACGCAAGUUUUUAUUACCGGUUCGCAUGGUCCGAGACAAUACUUGACGUUACAUUGGAAGAUGACACCAUAAGAUUCCGUGAACCUGAAGGCUUCGUAGACCGAUUGAAGGGCGUUACCGUCUGGCGUGAAGCUCGGGAAUAUCGAGGGAUCCACUGGGCAUCUAAAAUUACAUCGUUCCAUGAGAUCCCUUUUAGAUAGAUCAAUUUCGAUCUAGUAAAAAAAUAUUAACCCUUCAUCGUCGAUUAUUUGGAAGGUGCUUUUCGAGUCCUUGGCCAUAGCAACGCAGCUGCGAGCAAAGAUUCCGUAAGGUAUUUCGAUCCUAAACGUCAAUUUAUCUCCGAUUCUUACGGUUUCCACUUCUCUUGAUCUGCUAUCGAGAAUGCGUAUCCUUGGUGGUGGUGCUUCGGGUGCACUAGUGAUACUAAUCAUUUCCGGAUCCCUGAUAGG